GAUGAUAGAGGCGCAGAGCUCAUCAGUAACCCCGCGGAGGCGUCAGCCGCCUGUGAUGCCGGGCGAAAGGGUGUUCUGCCGAAACGUCUCGCCAGCUGUUUGGCGCGGCGUUGGGCGCCGGGACAACAUCCCUGCGACUGUCACAUUGCGUGGAGUGCUAUCGUU
rnacentral:ncRNA from 1 species